GAUGGUCAGACAGAUAGAUAGAUAGAUCUUGACACUGUUAUUUACUUGGCAGUCUAUGGGACAGUCACAGGCCUCCCGGUUUUCAUCCAAAAUGAAACAAAUGAAGCUUUUACGGGUUUGGAAUGACAUGGGGGUGAGUGAUUAAUGACCAAGUUUUCAUUUUGGGGUGGAGUAUCCCUUUAAGUAGAGUAACUUGUAAUCUGUAACCUAUUACAUUUCCAAAGUAACCUUCCCAACACUGGUGACAACAUGCAAUUAAUAGACAUCAAGCAACUUUCUAAAGGCACCAACAAUGAAACAAUGAAAGGUUACCAUAGUGACAUUUGCACAUUGUUUCUUUUCCAUACACCUUGCAUUGCACUCGGUUUGACAUCCAAGCAGCCAAAGUGAUGGAGGCAGAUGAGUUCGAGUGAGAUUGUGCACUUAGAUAGCGAGGACAGCCGAUAUGCUCUGGCAGCAGACCAAGCAUGCUGAGAGAAACGGAUGACCUGCAUCAAAACCCGCGCUGGCAACCCUGACAGCUGUGAAGGAGGGUCGAAUGGUCCUUUGCAACUCAAGAGCCCCACUCCACUGUUCCUAGCCCUAACAAUAAAUGGCUAAACAUAUGGACCCAGGCCUCAAAGAGAGCAAAGAUUGCAGAAAUUAAUUCAAUCAUGCUUUUUCGCUUCCCUUUAGACGCAAUGGGAUAUGUGAGCAAACAGCGCUGGGAUGGCUAGCACAUUAGUUAAUGAUACGCCCGCUACGUCUUACCCAAAGCUAUGAAUUUUCAUGAGGAUUUUGAAGCUUUAUUAUGGGGGUUGUAAACUGGGUUUUGAUUGCUUCUGGCUUGUUGGCAUUCACAUUUUCCUGUCCUUUUGCAUUCGCUCUUUAAUGGACUGCUAGUAAGAACCAUAAUAAACCAUUUAGUAGGAUUACUGUACUCGAGGACUUUCUGACCUAGAAGGAGCUUAGCGAUACACUGAAAGAGAAGGACAAGAAUGGUGAACAAACAAAUGAGGUCAGCUUCAAUCGGCCUGAUGGUUCUCAUUGACCCUAUGACCAUGUAAAAUCAGGUCAUAAUGGAUUCUUGAGAGACUGUAAUAGUUCACAUUUUUCAUGACCUUUUGGUUUUGAUCAAAUUUGAAAGUCAAACUCUUAUUUGUUUU
ensembl:lncRNA